GGGCGGGUAGCUCAGCUGGUUAGAGCGGCGGUCUUACACACCGUAGGUCGCAGGUUCGAAUCCUGUCCUGCCCA
rnacentral:tRNA from 1 species